rnacentral:rRNA from 1 species
AGCAGCCGCGGUAAUUCCAGCUCCAAUAGCGUAUAUUAAAGUUGUUGCAGUUAAAAAGCUCGUAGUUGAAUUUCGGGGUCGGUAGGUUGGUCAUGCCUCAGGUAUGCACUGGUCUCACUGAUUCCUCCUUCCUGAUGAGCCGUAAUGCCAUUAAUUUGGUGUUGCGAGGAAUCUGGACUGUUACUUUGAAAAAUUAGAGUGUUUAAAGCAAGCUAACGCUUGAAUACAUUAGCAUGGAAUAAUGGAAUAGGACGUUCGAUCCUAUUUUGUUGGUUUCUAGGAUUGACGUAAUGAUUAAUAGGGAUAGUUGGGGGCAUUAGUAUUCAAUUGUCAGAGGUGAAAUUCUUGGAUUUAUUGAAGACUAACUACUGCGAAAGCAUUUGCCAAGGAUGUUUUCAUUAAUCAAGAACGAAAGUUAGGGGAUCGAAGACGAUCAGAUACCGUCGUAGU